AGCAGCCGCGGUAAUUCCAGCUCCAAUAGCGUAUAUUAAAGUUGUUGCAGUUAAAAGCUCGUAGUUGAAUUUCGGGAUCAAUAUGCUGGUCGUGCCAUUGGUACGUACUAGUAUUAUUGGUUUCUCCUUUCUGAUGAAUCAUGAUGUCAUUAAUUUGAUGUCAUGAGGAAUCAGGACUGUUACUUUGAAAAAAUUAGAGUGUUUAAAGCAGGCUCGCGCUUGAAUACAUUAGCAUGGAAUAAUGAAAUAGGAUGUUUGAUUCUAUUUUGUUGGUUUCUAGGAUUGACGUAAUGAUUAAUAGGGAUAGUUGGGGGCAUUAGUAUUCAAUUGUCAGAGGUGAAAUUCUUGGAUUUAUUGAAGACUAACUACUGCGAAAGCAUUUGCCAAGGAUGUUUUCAUUAAUCAAGAACGAAAGUUAGGGGAUCGAAGACGAUCAGAUACCGUCGUAGUCUUAACCAUAAACUAUGCCGACUAGGGAUCGGAUGAUGUUAAUUUUUUAAUGACUCAUUCGGCGCCUUAC
rnacentral:misc_RNA from 1 species